rnacentral:rRNA from 1 species
AUGUGGUUAAUUCGAAGCAACGCGCAGAACCUUACCAGCCUUGACAUGGCAGGACGAUUUCCAGAGAUGGAUCUCUUCCAGCAAUGGACCUGCACACAGGUGCUGCAUGGCUGUCGUCAGCUCGUGUCGUGAGAUGUUGGGGUUAAGUCCCCGCAACGAGCGCAACCCUCGCCUCUAGUUGCCAUCAUUCAGUUGGGCACUCUAGAGGGACUGCCGGUGAUAAGCCGAGAGGAAGGUGGGAUGACGUCAAGUCCUCAUGGCCCUUACGGGCUGGGCUACACACGUGCUACAAUGGCGGUGACAGUGGGAUGCGAAAGGGUGACCUGGAGCAAAUCUCAAAAAGCCGUCUCAGUUCGGAUUGCACUCUGCAACUCGAGUGCAUGAAGUUGGAAUCGCUAGUAAUCGUGGAUCAGCAUGCCACGGUGAAUACGUUCCCGGGCCUU